ACUCCUACGGGAGGCAGCAGUGGGGAAUUUUGCGCAAUGGGGGAAACCCUGACGCAGCAACGCCGCGUGAGUGAUGAAGGCCCUUGGGUCGUAAAGCUCUGACAGAGGGAAAGAAGUGUAGAGUGGCUAAUAUCCACAUUACUUGACGGUACCCUCAAAGGAAGCACCGGCUAACUCCGUGCCAGCAGCCGCGGUAAUACGGGGGGUGCAAGCGUUGUUCGGAUUUAUUGGGCGUAAAGCGCGUGUAGGCGGUUUUAUAAGUCUGAUGUGAAAGCCCUGGGCUCAACCCGGGAAGUGCAUUGGAUACUGUAAGACUUGAAUACGGGAGAGGGCAGUGGAAUUCCUAGUGUAGGAGUGAAAUCCGUAGAUAUUAGGAGGAACACCGGUGGCGAAGGCGGCUGCCUGGACCGAUAUUGACGCUGAGACGCGAAAGCGUGGGUAGCAAACAGGAUUAGAUACCCUGGUAGUCCACGCUGUAAACGAUGAGAACUAGGUGUCGCGGGUA
rnacentral:rRNA from 1 species